rnacentral:rRNA from 1 species
UGGGGAAUUUUGGACAAUGGACGCAAGUCUGAUCCAGCCAUGCCGCGUGCGGGAAGAAGGCCUUCGGGUUGUAAACCGCUUUUGUCAGGGAAGAAACGAGUUUCUCUAAUACAGAGACUUAAUGACGGUACCUGAAGAAUAAGCACCGGCUAACUACGUGCCAGCAGCCGCGGUAAUACGAAGGGAGCUAGCGUUGUUCGGAAUUACUGGGCGUAAAGGGCGCGUAGGCGGUAAGAUAAGUCAGAUGUGAAAGCCUUGGGCUUAACCUGAGAACUGCAUUUGAUACUGUCUAACUAGAGGACGAGAGAGGAAAGUGGAAUUACGAGUGUAGCAGUGAAAUGCGUAGAUAUGCGGAGGAACACCGAUGGCGAAGGCAAUCCCCUGGGCCUGCACUGACGCUCAUGCACGAAAGCGUGGGGAGCAAACA